rnacentral:rRNA from 1 species
AAAGCGUGCGUAGGCGGCUUUUUAAGUCGGAUGUGAAAUCCCCGAGCUUAACUUGGGAAUUGCAUUCGAUACUGGGAAGCUAGAGUAUGGGAGAGGAUGGUAGAAUUCCAGGUGUAGCGGUGAAAUGCGUAGAGAUCUGGAGGAAUACCGAUGGCGAAGGCAGCCAUCUGGCCUAAUACUGACGCUGAGGUACGAAAGCAUGGGGAGCAAACAGGAUUAGAUACCCCAGU